rnacentral:rRNA from 1 species
UACGUAGGGGGCAAGCGUUAUCCGGAUUUGCUGGGCGUAAAGGGAGCGUAGACGGCAUGGCAAGCCAGAUGUGAAAUACCGGGGCUCAACCCCGGGACUGCAUUUGGAACUGUUAAGCUGGAGUGUCGGAGAGGCAGGCGGAAUUCCUAGUGUAGCGGUGAAAUGCGUAGAUAUUAGGAGGAACACCAGUGGCGAAGGCGGCCUGCUGGACGAUGACUGACGUUGAGGCUCGAAAGCGUGGGGAGCAAACAGG